CGGAGGUGCAAGCGUUAAUCGGAAUUACUGGGCGUAAAGCGCACGUAGGCGGACGACUAAGUCGGAUGUGAAAUCCCUGGGCUUAACCUGGGAACUGCAUCCGAUACUGGUCGCCUAGAGUAUGGAAGAGGGAAGCGGAAUUCCAGGUGUAGCGGUGAAAUGCGUAGAUAUCUGGAGGAACAUCAGUGGCGAAGGCGGCUUCCUGGUCCAAUACUGACGCUGAGGUGCGAAAGCGUGGGAGCAAACAGGAUU
rnacentral:rRNA from 1 species